ACAGGGGGAUAACAGUUGGAAACGGCUGCUAAUACCGCAUAAGCGCACAGCAUCGCAUGAUGCAGUGUGAAAAACUCCGGUGGUAUAAGAUGGACCCGCGUUGGAUUAGCUAGUUGGUGAGGUAACGGCCCACCAAGGCGACGAUCCAUAGCCGACCUGAGAGGGUGACCGGCCACAUUGGGACUGAGACACGGCCCAAACUCCUACGGGAGGCAGCAGUGGGGAAUAUUGCACAAUGGGCGAAAGCCUGAUGCAGCGACGCCGCGUGGGCGAAGAAGUAUUUCGGUAUGUAAAGCUCUAUCAGCGGGGAAGAUAAUGACGGUACCUGACUAAGAAGCACCGGCUAAAUACGUGCCAGCAGCCGCGGUAAUACGUAUGGUGCAAGCGUUAUCCGGAUUUACUGGGUGUAAAGGGAGCGCAGGCGGUGCGGCAAGUCUGAUGUGAAAGCCCGGGGCUCAACCCCGGUACUGCAUUGGAAACUGUCGUACUAGAGUGUCGGAGGGGUAAGCGGAAUUCCUAGUGUAGCGGUGAAAUGCGUAGAUAUUAGGAGGAACACCAGUGGCGAAGGCGGCUUACUGGACGAUAACUGACGCUGAGGCUCGAAAGCGUGGGGAGCAAACAGGAUUAGAUACCCUGGUAGUCCACGCCGUAAACGA
rnacentral:rRNA from 1 species